rnacentral:rRNA from 1 species
CCUACGGGUGGCAGCAGUGAGGAAUAUUGGUCAAUGGGCGGAAGACUGAACCAGCCAAGUAGCGUGCAGGAUGACGGCCCUAAGGGUUGUAAACUGCUUUUAUACGGGAAUAACGCGCCUUACGUGUAGGGCGUUGCGUGUACCGUAAGAAUAAGGACCGGCUAAGUCCGUGCCAGCAGCCGCGGUAAUACGGAAGGUCCGGGCGUUAUCCGGAUUUAUUGGGUUUAAAGGGAGCGUAGGCCGCAUGUCAAGCGUGCUGUGAGAUGUCCGGGCUCAACCCGGGCCGUGCAGCGCGAACUGGCGUGCUUGAGUCCGCGGAAAGCAGGCGGAAGGCGUGGUGUAGCGGUGAAAUGCUUAGAUAUGACGAAGAACUCCGAUUGCGAAGGCAGCUUGCUGCCGCGGAACUGACGCUGAUGCUCGAAAGCGCGGGUAUCGAACAGGAUUAGAUACCCGAGUAGUC